GUCUAUAGCCAUAACACCCUGAACACAACAGAUCUCGUCCGAUCCCAGAAGCUAAGCAAGGUCAGGCCUGGUUAGCACUUGGAUUGAUUUGCUUUUGGGGUUUUAUCUC
rnacentral:rRNA from 1 species